CGUGGUGUGAACUGUCUGCUUAAUUGCGAUAACGAGCGAGACUCCGACUGUUAUAUAGUGGGAGGUCUGUUUUGACCUCCGCACUUCUUAGCGGGAUUCGCAACUUCAAGUUGCAAGAAAUGGAGCAAUAACAGGUCUGUGAUGCCCUUAGAUGUCCGGGGCAGCACGCGUGCUACAAUGGUGGUAACAGCGUGAUUGUCCUCGCCCGAGAGGGCUUGGCAAACAGUUGAGAUAUUAUUAUGGCUGGAAUUGAGUGUUGAAAUUUUCUCUCAUGAACGAGGAAUUCCAAGUAAAUGCGAGUCAUCAACUUGCAUUGAUUACGUCCCUGCCCUUUGUAC
rnacentral:rRNA from 1 species